rnacentral:rRNA from 1 species
CCUACGGGGUGCAGCAGUGGGGAAUAUUGCACAAUGGGGGAAACCCUGAUGCAGCGACGCCGCGUGAGUGAAGAAGUAUUUCGGUACGUAAAGCUCUAUCAGCAGGGAAGAAAAUGACGGUACCUGACUAAUAAGCCCCGGCUAACUACGUGCCAGCAGCCGCGGUAAUACGUAGGGGGCAAGCGUUAUCCGGAUUUACUGGGUGUAAAGGGAGCGUAGACGGCAGCGCAAGUCUGGAGUGAAAUCCCAUGGCUUAACCAUGGAACUGCUUUGGAAACUGUGCAGCUAGAGUGCAGGAGAGGUAAGCGGAAUUCCUAGUGUAGCGGUGAAAUGCGUAGAUAUUAGGAGGAACACCAGUGGCGAAGGCGGCUUACUGGACUGUAACUGACGUUGAGGCUCGAAAGCGUGGGGAGCAAACAGGAUUAGAUACCCCUGUAGUC